UAAAACCCCAAACAGCAAAGAGCCUUCCUUGUAAACCAGCCAAUCUGGAUGGGUGGGGCAGUGCUGUGUCCCCGCACCGGCAACCUCCCUUUCACCGUGCACCAAGCCUGGCGGCGGCGGCUGGCCUGCGGGUCCCUCCCGGGAUGGCAAUGCGACUUGGAAACGGCGCGCGCUCAGCCUGCGCGCUCCGCCACCGCAGCCAAUCCGCGGGUGCACUGCGGGUGACCUCCCCCGGGCCGGGGAAUAAAUUGCCAAGUUCCCCCACCGCGGGUGUCUUUGCUAGCCGGCGGGUUGCAGUCUUCCAGGCUAAUUAGGAAGCCGGUCAUGAGGAGCGAGGAGGGCCUGGGCUCUGCGCUGGCCGGAGCGGGGCAGGGGCAGGGGCGGGCAGCGCUCGGCUCCGGGGUCCGGGCAUCCGCGAGCCACCACGGGUAGAGCACUCGCUCUCGCUCGCUUGCUUGCUUGCUUGCUCCCUCGCUCACAUCUGCUAGCCACCCCGGAGCUUCCCCGGAGCUGCUGCCAGGACUCCUUCAAGCCAGAGCAAGUUUUCCAGGGCGCUGCGACCUUGGCGCGCUGGAUGGACCCGCCUGGGAAGCCGGACCCGGGGAGGUCGAGGCUGGCUGGCCCGGUAAGGUUUCCCCGCAGUUGCCACCCUCCUUUUGGGUCUCCUAUGGCGGAGAUGCACAUGCCAAGCGUGCCCCCUGCCUGGACAUACACCUCAAGGGUUCAGCUGUGCCUUUUCUGGAGAUUUUGAACUUGUCCGCCUGCAAUCCGGAGAGUGCGUCGGUCCAGUGGAUUGGCUUUGUUUUUGCAUCCUCUUCAGCUCCGCUUUGGCUUUGGGAUUCUCUGACUGCCUGGGUACGCCUCUCCUUUGUGGGCAUCAGAUACCAGCUCUGAGAAGCUGUUUAACACUGUUACUGUAAACAAAGCUUAUCACUGGCUUUAAUGGACUGAUGAGCAAGCCAUCCUGGAAUCCAGAAGUGACUUCUAGGAUCUGGAAGGAGAACUGGCGGACUGGCCAGACGUUCAGGCUCUGCAUAAUUAAUCUGGAGGAGCCCAACCAACUGCCUGGUGCGCCUUGUUGUGUUCAGUUAGGAUUCACCGGAAAUGGAUUUGAAUUUCGGCUCUACCCCUUCCUAGCUGUUUAAAAUGUCACAACACCAUUUUUUUCCUUCUGUAAAAUGGGAAUAAAUAAUUAAGCCUAUCCCA
rnacentral:lncRNA from 1 species